rnacentral:rRNA from 1 species
AACGCGAAGAACCUUACCUGGGCUCGAAAUGUAGUGGAAUAGGGUGGAAACAUCCUAGGCUCGCAAGAGACUGCUAUAUAGGUGCUGCAUGGCUGUCGUCAGCUCGUGUCGUGAGAUGUUGGGUUAAGUCCCGCAACGAGCGCAACCCUUAUCCCUAGUUGCCAUCGGGUCAAGCCGGGCACUCUAGUGAAACCGCUCAGGAUAACUGGGAGGAAGGUGGGGAUGACGUCAAGUCCUCAUGGCCUUUAUGUCCAGGGCUACACACGUGCUACAAUGGUCGGUACAAACCGUCGCAAACCCGCGAGGGGGAGCUAAUCGGAAAAAGCCGGCCUCAGUUCGGAUUGGAGUCUGCAACCCGACUCCAUGAAGCUGGAAUCGCUAGUAAUCGCGGAUCAGAACGCCGCGGUGAAUACGUUCCCGGGCCUUGUACACACCGGCUAC